rnacentral:rRNA from 1 species
AACGAACGCUGGCGGCGCGCCUAACACAUGCAAGUCGAGCGUGAAAGGGAGCAAUCCCAAGUAAAGCGGCGCACGGGUGAGUAACACGUGGGUAAUCUGCCCCAGGUGAUCGGGAUAACCAGCCGAAAGGUUGGCUAAUACCGGAUCAGACCACGGGACCUUCGGGUCCUGCGGUGAAAGGGCGGCUCCGCAAGGAGCUGUCGCCCUGGGAUGAGCCCGCGGCCCAUCAUGCUAGUUGGUAGGGUAACGGCCUACCAAGGCGAAGACGGGUAGCUGGUCUGAGAGGACGAUCAGCCACACUGGAACUGGGACACGGUCCAGACUCCUACGGGAGGUAGCAGUGGGGAAUCUUGCGCAAUGGACGAAAGUCUGACGCAGCGACGCCGCGUGUGGGAUGAAGGCCUUCGGGUCGUAAACCACUGUCGCGAGGGACGAACAAGGUGCCGGUAAAUAAUCGGCGCCCCUGACGGUACCUCGAGAGGAAGCAACGGCUAACUCUGUGCCAGCCGCCGCAGUAA